rnacentral:rRNA from 1 species
CUUUCCCUCUUUCUUUAGGCCUAACACAUGCAAGUCGAACGGCAGCACAGUAAGAGCUUGCUCUUACGGGUGGCGAGUGGCGGACGGGUGAGGAAUACAUCGGAAUCUACUUUUUCGUGGGGGAUAACGUAGGGAAACUUACGCUAAUACCGCAUAAGACCUACGGGUGAAAGCAGGGGAUCUUCGGACCUUGCGCGAUUGAAUGAGCCGAUGUCGGAUUAGCUAGUUGGCGGGGUAAAGGCCCACCAAGGCGACGAUCCGUAGCUGGUCUGAGAGGAUGAUCAGCCACACUGGAACUGAGACACGGUCCAGACUCCUACGGGAGGCAGCAGUGGGGAAUAUUGGACAAUGGGCGCAAGCCUGAUCCAGCCAUACCGCGUGGGUGAAGAAGGCCUUCGGGUUGUAAAGCCCUUUUGUUGGGAAAGAAAAGCAGCAGGUUAAUACCCCGCUGUUCUGACGGUACCCAAAGAAUAAGCACCGGCUAACUUCGUG